rnacentral:rRNA from 1 species
AUGCACGCUGGCGGCGUGCCUCAUACAUGCAAGUCGCGCGCACAGACGAGGAGCUUGCUCCUCUGACGUUAGCGGCGGACGGGUGAGUAACACGUGGAUAACCUACCUAUAAGACUGGGAUAACUUCGGGAAACCGGAGCUAAUACCGGAUAAUAUAUUGAACCGCAUGGUUCAAUAGUGAAAGACGGUUUUGCUGUCACUUAUAGAUGGAUCCGCGCCGCAUUAGCUAGUUGGUAAGGUAACGGCUUACCAAGGCAAUGAUGCGUAGCCGACCUGAGAGGGUGAUCGGCCACACUGGAACUGAGACACGGUCCAGACUCCUACGGGAGGCAGCAGUAGGGAAUCUUCCGCAAUGGGCGAAAGCCUGACGGAGCAACGCCGCGUGAGUGAUGAAGGUCUUCGGAUCGUAAAACUCUGUUAUUAGGGAAGAACAAAUGUGUAAGUAACUAUGCACGUCUUGACGGUACCUAAUCAGAAAGCCACGGCUAACUACGUG